rnacentral:rRNA from 1 species
AUGGAUUUCACAAUUCAGUACUUUGAGAGGCGGCAAGCUGAGAACCCUCAAUUCUACUAUGCAAAAACAGUUGACAAGGAGACCAACUCUGUCACAGGGCUCUUUUGGGUGGAUGGGAGGACAAGGGCAUUGUACCCCAAGUACAAAGAUUGUAUCUUCUUUGAUACAACAUUUUGCACAAAUCGGUACAACAUGUCGUUCGCUCCGAUUGUUGGAGUGAACAACCACUUGCAAACGGUGUUGCUGGGUUGUGCACUGUUGCCAAAUGAACAGAUUGAAACUUUCAAGUGGGUGUCCCAGCAUUUUUUGCUUGCGAUGAACAAUGAACACCCAUUAAACAUUAUGACCGACCAGGACAAGGCCAUGGAAACUGCCAUAUCUCAAGUGCUGCCAAACAUGGUGCAUAGAUGCUGCAAAUGGCACGUCCAACGAAAAGCGCGUGAGAAGUUGGGCAGGAUAAUGAGUAAGGAUGAGGUUUUUGAGCAAGCUUUCUACACUUGCAUCAAUGAUUCUGACACGGUUGAUGAAUUUGAAGAGAAUUGGCAGCACAUGAUACAUUGCUUCGACUUGGUUGAUAAUAGGCAUCUAUGCAACAUGUGGAAGACUCGUGAAACCUGGGCUCCAGCAUUCUUUCGGAAGUGUUUUUCCCCUUUACAAGCACUACGGGGAGGUCAGAGGGACUAA